GGCUUAAUGUUUUUGUAUUGCAUAAAUAUGACAAGUAACUAUCCACUUAGCAGUAAGUUCGUCAUUAUCUUUAUAUUCGUCAUCAAAUGGAUUUAAUAUUAUGGUUGUAUUCAUGGAUCUUUCUGGACAGUGGGUGAUGUGUGUCGGCCGUUAACGUUAGCAUAUCUCCAUGGACAGCUAAGUGUCUAUGAUGUUAAAUUAUUAGGCCUAUGUUGAGUAUAACUAUUUUAUUCGUAAGUAUAAAAUGGAAGUUAACACAUCUCCUCCCAGUCGUUGUUUGGAAUUUUAGCCUUAGUCUCCCGGCCAGUUUCAUAAAUUUUCAUCAGCCAGCGAACAUUUUGUCCGAUGGGCAUGUGUAAUUUCUAGAAGUGCUAGUUCUUCAGAAAAAGGAUACGUGCCUAAGUACACUAAACCAACGUUAGUUCUGCUGCUGUGUUGUUCCGGUUUUUAUUCCAAACUUCCAUUUUCACUCCUAAUGUUCACCCUGACGUGAACAGGAAAUGUGCAUGAUAUCAUUUGACUGUUGUAGGCCCCUAGAGUACUUCUAGGUGUUUUCAUGACCGAUGUCAGUUAACUUUUUGGGAGCCAACGCAUGUGAGGCGAAACGUGUUUUUUACCUGACUUGGGAGUCAAAUGUUUUGAAUGUCUACUAUACAUUGAUUAAGGCAUUUUCACGCACGAGCAGGAAACAAUGAUACAUUACUAAUACUUAAUUCAAGUCAGUGGCAGGAAAUGAUAAACCAUAACCAGCAACGCAUUAAUUACAGCAAUGCAUUACUUUUUCUGCAACUCAGAGAAUACCUUAAGUUUGGCAGUUUUUUAGCAACUCAGUCAACAUUGCAUGUAAGCUUAACACAAUAAUGCAUAUUUUUUCUUUUUUGUGUCACUCCUCACCACAUAUGGCAGAUUUAGUGUGAAGAGCCACCUGUACAAGAUUCCUGGGACAGCAGAACAUGCACCUCACGCACUACCCUGGCACCCUGGCUGAACAACCCGCAGCACAUCAUCUCCAGCUGAGAGGGGGACUCAUACAUUCAUUUGAAAUCAGCUCUACUGAGCGUAACACAACUCUUGCAAUCAAAUUUGGCAGAGGCUCUGAAGGCCACAUAGCCAGCAAGGUACACUGACACAUUGCCCUCAAUGACGUCCAGCCCCUUCAUGAACUCUGUGUUGUCCAGUCCAGGGAAUGUGGGUUCCUCAUCAGUAGACUGUACGUGAGGCAUGGUCAGUGCGGUGCAUGGAUGGGGAGUUGCCAUCUGCGAUGACUCAGUGCAGCUCUACAAAAUCAUUGCAAAUGAUUACAGACUUACAGUAUACUAAUCAUGUGUGACACUUUUGUUUUUGAAAGGGUGUUUCGUGUACCUCGUGAGGCAUGGUCAGUGCGGUGCAUGGAUGGGGAGUUGCCAUCUGCGAUGACUCAGUGCAGCUCUACAAAAUCAUUGCAAAUGAUUACAGACUUACAGUAUACUAAUCAUGUGUGACACUUUUGUUUUUGAAAGGGUGUUUCGUGUACCUCGUGAGGCAUGGUCAGUGCGGUGCAUGGAUGGGGAGUUGCCAUCUGCGAUGACUCAGUGCAGCUCUACAAAAUCAUUGCAAAAGAUUACAGACUUACAGUAUACUAAUCAUGUGUGACACUUUUGUUUUUGAAAGGGUGUUUCGUCUACCUCAAACAAAUGGGACAAUUGCAGCAAUAGGUGUAUUUCCUCCGGUUCGCAAUUUGUAUUUCUCCCAAAUGUCAUUAGAUAGUCUAGCACGGCCUGCCUGUAGUCUAAUCGGAAUUGCUGAGGGUCUGGAUUGUCCCUGUGCCCGCCCUUCGCUCUGAUCACCCCAAAGAAGUGUUCCAGGCAGUCCUGGUUGAGGUGCCUCGUAAAUAGAAACUGAAAUCCUUUCUCUGUGAAUGCAAAUGACAAACAGUACAUUGGCCAACAGCAGAAAACAUGCAGUGGUGGACAAAGCUCAUUAGCAUUAGCAAAGCUCAAUUUGAAUAAUUAUGCCUUAUUGCUGCUACCUUUCAAUUCAGCCCAGAUUUCCUUGAUUGCUCUUAGGUUAUGCCUCCAACCAUUUAGGCAAUUCAAGCUGUUGCCACUGGCACAUCUGACAGAUGCCAGCCAGUUAAUACUCUCAUUGAUAAAAUCAAUAUGUGUCUCUCUGAAGGCAUCCUUUUGUGGUGUGCUGCUGGACAAUGUGCUACUGUUAAAGCAGUCAAACAUCUGGUUAAAGUGGGCUACAAAAUCUGCCGUCGUUUUUGCCCCCUCUCUUAGCUUCCCCAUGUCUGCCAUGGUGAGCAGUGCAGCCGCAACAGAAUGACUAAGAACCUGUAAUAAAAAAAUAAAAAAAAUCCCAUUUUCAGGACCAUAGAUAAAGAUUGUAAAUUGAAUGUUAUACGCCUGCAUGACAGUUUUCACUUGUGGCUUACCUGAGUGGCGAGAGGCACACUCAUUGUUGAAAAGGCAGUGAGGGACAGAUGCCGUUGGGUUAACUUGGGUGCCAUUCGGUGUUGUCUUUGUGAAUCAAUUUUAAACAUUUCAGUGAUGUCUCCCCAUUCUGCCAAUUUGUCCCCUAUGUAAAAUCCAUAUUUUCGCAAAUUGUUUCUGAUGUUUUUCAUUAAAUGGGGGGGGUCGAAUAAAAAAUGAAUCUUCUGGCUUUUGACAAAGAAGUACGGUUUUUCUUCUGUUAUACCCAGGUUUCUACAGGCUGCCAGGUUGUUGCUGCCUUGGUCCAUUACCAGCACCAUGGGAGUGAAGCCAGUGUCAAGCACCUUUUCCACCGCCUCCAUGAUUUUGGUUUUUAAGACCCCAUGCUUCAUGGUCCCAGAUGACAAGAAGUACCCUAUGGGUUGUUUCCAUUUCCCAGUUAGACUACGGAUCAUGAAAACCCCUGCAUGGUUGGCUGGUCUUCCCCCUUCGUCAUACCCUUCUACUUCAUCUUUCGAGAUGUUAUAAUUUAGGCUACAUUUCAAUGUAAUUUCAUCAAAUGUGAUGGCAACGUGCCUAUCUCGCUCUUCCAUAUGCUGCACUUGAUGUUUAAGUGCAUACAGCACAGGUUCAUGCCAUCCCGGCCCGAUGUCUACUCUCUGCAAGAUAUUUGAAAGGGUCCUGGCUGUAGGGAGCUUGAAAAUUCUCCUCAUGGUUCGGUAGGCUUUUGGCCCUGUACCCUUAACCUGUAACGCCCAACUUUUCAUGAAGUUGCUCCACCGAAUGGCCCUUGGUUUUUUUUUGGCAUUAUCAAUUUGCUCGUUGACAAAUUGUGCGGCUUGUUUUGGCAAUACUUUGGAAAUUUCCCUCUUUAAUGUUUGUUUGCUGAUAGAUGGUGUCUUUUUCUUUAGCCUUGACAGCUUUGAUUUGUAGCAGCCAAUUUUUCUUUUCAGUUUUUCCACUGUGUUGUCAUUGCUGACACUGGCCAGUACAUCAGUGCCUAAAAAGAAAUGUGACAACUGUAACAACAGACUUAUGCACAGACUACUACCUAUGCAGUGUUCAACACUCAGAAUGUAUCUGUUACCACCAUUUGCCAUUAAAUCACUUACUAUCCAGGA